UACAGAGGUCUCAAGCGUUGUUCGGAUUCAUUGGGCGUAAAGGGCUCGUAGGCGGCCAACUAAGUCAGACGUGAAAUCCCUCGGCUUAACCGGGGAACUGCGUCUGAUACUGGAUGGCUUGAGUUUGGGAGAGGGAUGCGGAAUUCCAGGUGUAGCGGUGAAAUGCGUAGAUAUCUGGAGGAACACCGGUGGCGAAGGCGGCAUCCUGGACCAACACUGACGCUGAGGAGCGAAAGCUAGGGGAGCAAACGGG
rnacentral:rRNA from 1 species